UGUUCAUAUUCUUGAUCACUACCACUUCUCUUUCCUGUCCAGAUGAUCAGAAGCAAGCCCUUCUCCAAUUCAAAUCCUUGAUUAUCAAUAUCAUCAACUCAUCUUCUUCUGAUUAUUAUUAUCCUCUUGGCUUGGAUUCAUGGAACUCAAGUUCAGAUUGUUGUUAUUGGGAGAUGGUGACCUGCAAUUCUCGCUCAAGUUCAAGAUCAGUGAUAGCUCUUGAUCUUCACGCCGUGGUUCCAUCUCAAGUGCCCAUAUCAAUACCUUCUUCUGUGUUAUCACCUCUCUCUCGCAUUAAAACCUUGAUGUUGCUCGAUAUAUCCUAUAAUUACAUACUGGGUGAGAUUCCAGCUAACGUAUUUGCCAAUCUCAGCAGAUUGGUUCAUCUAGACAUGAUGUUAAACAAUUUUAGUGGCUCCAUCCCUCCUCGUAUCUUCAAUAUCUUGAUAUCAGUAACAACCUUCUGACUGGUAUGCUAAGCCAGGAAGUGGGCUCCCUUGAAAACUUGAGGGUACUGAAGUUGGAUUAUAAUUCUAUAGCAGGAAAUAUCUCUCGAGAGAUUGNNNNNUACAAAAUUGCAGCGGUUGAGUCUUCGCAGCAACAAUUUUGUAUGGAGCAUUCCAUCUUCUAUUCUCUAUCUGAAGGAAUUGCAGGAAUUGGACUUGAGGGACAACGCUUUAUCAAUGGAGAUUCCUGCUAAUAUAGGUGAUCUUACCAACCUGAUCACGCUGGCCUUGAGCAAUAACCGGCUAAGUGGAGGAAUCCCAUCAUCAAUACAGAAACUGAGCAAGUUGCAAGUUCUCAGGUUGGAAGACAACAUUCUUGCUGGAGGAAUUCCAACAUGGUUGUUUGACAUGAAGAGCCUGAAGGAUCUGUUUAUUGGUGGGAAUAAUCUGACUUGGGAUAACAACGCAGACUUAAUGCCAACUUUUAUGUUAUCUCAGUUGUCUAUAAAAUCAUGCGGGCUUCAAGGAAGAAUCCCAGAUUGGAUUUCGACGCAGAGGACUCUUGAUUUCUUGGAUUUGAGUGAGAAUAUGCUCCAAGGACCCUUUCCGCAAUGGCUAGCUGAAAUGAAUCUAGGCGCCAUUGUCCUGUCUGAUAACAAACUCUCAGGUGCUCUUCCUCCGCGUCUGUUUGAAUCUCAGAGUUUAUCUGUACUUGCCUUAUCAAGGAACAACUUCUCUGGAGAAUUGCCAGCAAAUAUUGGGAAUGCCAAUGCUAU
rnacentral:misc_RNA from 1 species